rnacentral:tRNA from 1 species
GGUAAAGUGGCUGAGAUAUAAGUAUUAGACUGUAAAUCUAAAGACAGAGGUUGUCCUCUUUUUACCA